CAAAGUAUUCCCGAUUUUCUUAGCUUUCUGCCGGAUCUAUUAUUCUUUUUAUUUUACCGGGCUUUUAUUUGAUCUCCGAAUUAGGCCCAAACCUCAAGCCCAAACUUUAGCACACAAACCCCACAUGGGAUAGGUUACCCUCUUCUGUCUUCCUCUUGCGCGGCGACCACGACGAUGAAAUUCCACGAAAGCUUAAAUUGAUUCCGAUCUACAUAACGUCUUCACCAACCAUCUUUACUCUGCGUUACACAUAGUUAAUCCCUCAUCCCACUUAAAGCAUUCAAUCGAUCUCUUCGUAUCCCACCGUAACCGGCUGAAGCUACAUCUAUAAAUAUCGCAUCGGACCUUCCUGCGAUGUUAUUGAGGAUGAGAAAUUGGAGGGUUAUCUUCUCAUAUGCUGUCAAGUAAGUUUAGGAUUUCACCUUCGAUGUGCUUCCCAACUAUGAUUGUUUGAUUCUUUCUUCCCAACUAUGAUUGUUUGAUUCUUUCUGUUCGAUGUGAUUCAGUUGCUGGCAUUGAUCACAGAGAUACACAAGAACAACCUGCAAGGAUUUGCAAACUCGAGAAAAAUGAAGAAGCCAUAUGGUGGAGUGCUGCAUUUUGUCUUCGGAGAGGUCCAGAAAAAAAAUGUUUGGAGGUAUGUCUCUGCAUCUAAAAACUAAAGGAUCUAUAGUUGACGGCUCUCUCACUCCGAUUCUAAUCUGGAAUACAAUGAGAUACCUAGAAAGAGGAACCAAUGGUUCUAAACCACCAUGUAUUGACACGACAAAAGAGCUUUCAAGAUCAAGACAUGGCUAUUAUGUCUUCAUCAAUUUUUUUAACCAAGUGAAAGUUCUUGAAGUCUCCAUCGCCGAGCAGUAGAUUUGAAAGCAGUUUCUCGAAAUCGCAAUCUCCAAGCAGGAGAUUUAGUAUAGCGGCUGCUGACUUGACAACAACUGAUCAGAGACUAAGGUUCAUCGAAUAAGCUCUAAGAGGGGCGAAAGAGCUGUCAACAAAGUAAUCUUAAACCACAAGGAACCGGUGGUUCCAAUAUUUCAAGAAAUCGGCAAUCAAUUGAUUUGGAUAGCUUCAUUUUUCUGUAAGGACUAUGUUUUUUUUUUGUACACAUAGGUUUUGUAUUUCUUUGAGAUGAUGAUCAACAUUGACAUACUUUUGGUUAAAGUAUAAGAUAUCUUUAUAAAUUUGUAU